AGAUAUCAGGAGGAACACCGAUGGCGAAGGCAGAUCUCUGGGCCGUAACUGACGCUGAGGAGCGAAAGGGUGGGGAGCAAACAGGCUUAGAUACCCUGGUAGUCCACCCCGUAAACGUUGGGAACUAGUUGUGGGGUCCAUUCCACGGAUUCCGUGACGCAGCUAACGCAUUAAGUUCCCCGCCUGGGGAGUACGGCCGCAAGGCUAAAACUCAAAGGAAUUGACGGGGACCCGCACAAGCGGCGGAGCAUGCGGAUUAAUUCGAUGCAACGCGAAGAACCUUACCAAGGCUUGACAUAUACGAGAACGGGCCAGAAAUGGUCAACUCUUUGGACACUCGUAAACAGGUGGUGCAUGGUUGUCGUCAGCUCGUGUCGUGAGAUGUUGGGUUAAGUCCCGCAACGAGCGCAACCCUCGUUCUAUGUUGCCAGCACGUAAUGGUGGGAACUCAUGGGAUACUGCCGGGGUCAACUCGGAGGAAGGUGGGGAUGACGUCAAAUCAUCAUGCCCCUUAUGUCUUGGGCUUCACGCAUGCUACAAUGGCCGGUACAAAGGGCUGCAAUACCGUGAGGUGGAGCGAAUCCCAAAAAGCCGGUCCCAGUUCGGAUUGAGGUCUGCAACUCGACCUCAUGAAGUCGGAGUCGCUAGUAAUCGCAGAUCAGCAACGCUGCGGUGAAUACGUUCCCGGGUCUUGUACACACCGCCCGUCAAGUCAUGAAAGUCGGUAACACCUGAAGCCGGUGCCUAACCCUUGUGGAGGGAGCCGUCGAAUAUGGAUCCGAAAUUUUCC
rnacentral:rRNA from 1 species